rnacentral:rRNA from 1 species
GACAGAGGUGCCAAGCGUUAGGCGGAAUCACUGGGCUUAAAGCGUGUGUAGGCGGAUCGUUAAGUACCUUGUGAAAUCCCACGGCUCAACCGUGGAACUGCUCGGUAUACUGGCGGUCUUGAGCCACCUAGGGGCAACUGGAACAAGCGGUGGAGCGGUGAAAUGCGUAGAUAUCGCUUGGAACGCCAACGGUGAAAACAGGUUGCUGGGGGUGUGCUGACGCUGAGACGCGAAAGCGUGGGUAGCAAACAGG